GUAGUAGUAGUUGUUGAUGUGAGUUGAUGUUGGUUAGAAAUAAGAGAUUGCUAUCCUGUUAAUUAAUUUUCCUUUUUGAAUACUUAGUUUAGACGCUCACAGGUGAGGCAGAAGAGGACGAUCCAGGGAAACUAGAAGGCUUCCAACUUGUCUUUGUUUUUCUUCCCCUCUUCUGGACUGGCAGUUUAACUUCUCCGUUGAUUACAAGAGACAGAGAGAAGAAUCGCACCAUGGAGGUCAAACUGUUAUGCUGUGACAUCAUGCUCAUGAUCUUAGCUGUUGC